rnacentral:rRNA from 1 species
UACGUAGGGUCCGAGCGUUGUCCGGAAUUACUGGGCGUAAAGAGCUCGUAGGUGGUUUGUCGCGUUGUUCGUGAAAACUCACAGCUUAACUGUGGGCGUGCGGGCGAUACGGGCAGACUGGAGUACUGCAGGGGAGACUGGAAUUCCUGGUGUAGCGGUGAAAUGCGCAGAUAUCAGGAAGAACACCCGUGGCGAAAGCGGCUCUCUGGAACGGUACUGACGCUGAGACGCGAAAGCGUGGGGAGCGAACAGG